rnacentral:lncRNA from 10 species
UUUGCCAGGACCAACACUUGUCAGCAUGGCACAAUCAGGCAUUUCUCUUCUAAGUAGGAUGUGCAGCCAAAAACUCAGCUGUCUGUGAGCUGUCUUCUCCCAGGAACGAGGACAUAAGAUGUACAUCAGGUCUGAACUGCACAGAUCCACUUACAUGUGGAUUUUCUUCCACUGCGGCCUCUCCUGAGACAGCAAGACCAACCCCUCCUUUUCAUCCUCCUCCUCCUCCUCAGCCUACUCAACAUGAAAAUGACAAGGAUGAAACCUUUAUGAUGAUCCACUCAUCCAUUUUCUUUUC